UUCAUCGAUCCUCCUAAACGGUGGAAAUUGGAAGUGUCGUUGGAGCGGCGCGUGUAAACUGCAGGACCGCUUUCAAAAGAGUUUGCCAUAAUUCAUCGACCCCGUUUUUUCUGGGUUUUCCACUUCCGGUGUAUAUUUUAGACUUUUUUUACUUCGCCAAAUAAAAAGGAAAACUCCGUCUCCGUUUACCACUGUCAGUAGCGCCGAGAAUGGCAGAGGAGCCUCAAGAUACCAAGAUAGUGAAAACUGAAACGCCGUCGGAGGACUCGCCUGAUAUCGAGUCUCAGAUUAAGGAUGCUAUGCGCUCCCGCGUCAACCACUUCAAAGAACAAGCCGAUUCUUUGACCUUUGAAGGGGUAAGGAGACUAUUAGAGAAGGACUUGGGAUUGCAGAAGUAUGCACUGGAUGUGCACAAGAGAUUUGUCAAGCAAUGUUUGGUGGAGUGCUUAGAAGGUGCUGUUGAUGACAAUGUUUCCAAGGAUUCUGGGGAAAAUGGGGAGAAACAUGCCCAUUUAACAAAAAAAGAAGCAACAGAAUCACCAGAAGGACAUGAAUCUAGAAAUGACAUAAAGGAAUCUUAUUCUGAAGAUGAACAGAAAAUGGAAGACUCUCCGGUAAUGGGCCUUUUGACAGGGAAAAAACCACCUAAAUCAGAAACUAAGGAAACUGUAGAUGAUGGUAAUAAAGAAGUUCCAAGUGAGAGCAGCAUAAAGAAAGCCUUGUUGAAAAGAGCUUCCUAUAUUAAAGCUAAUUCCGAAAAAAUAACAAUGGCUGGACUUCGUCGACUUUUAGAGGAAGAUCUCAGACUUGAAAAACAUGCACUUGAUCCCUACAAGACAUUUAUAAGCAAACAGUUGGAUGAGUUAUUACAAUCUUCUGAAGUUCCUGAACCUAAGAAGAAAAAUAUAAAAGCUGAAUCUCAAGGAAAAGCAUCUAAAAAGACGAGUCGUGAAGAUAGUUCAGAUUCUCCAGAUAGUGAAAGUGAGGAGGAGGAUGAAGAAGAAGUAAAACCAAAGAAGAAAAUUGGUGCAAAGCAAAAGACACUAAAUUCUGAAGUGGCUAAAAAACGGAAGAGGCUUGAAAAAGAAUCCAAAGUAUCUGGCAAGAAGCGCAUUAAGCCUGUGGAAACAGUACCAGAGGAGAAUAGUGAUGCAGAAGACGGUUUAAAUGCCUCUGAAGAUAGCCAUUCUCAAUCAUCGGCUGAAAAACCAGUCAAGAAAAAGGAAGCUCCAACUCCAGCAUAUGGGAAACGUGUUGAGCAUCUAAAAUCUGUUAUAAAAUCCUGUGGGAUGAGUGUGCCUCCUGUAAUUUACAAGAAGAUUAAACAGGUUCCUGAGAGCAAACGUGAGGCCCAGCUAAUAAAGGAGCUGGAGGAGAUACUUUCUAGGGAAGAAUUGUCAUCAAACCCUUCUGAAAAAGAAAUCAAGGAAGUUAGAAAGAGAAAGGAAAGAGCAAAAGAACUUGAGGGCAUUGACACGAGUAAUAUUGUGUCAAGUUCACGUAGAAGGUCUACAACGAGUUAUGUAGCUCCCCCAAAACCCAAAAUUUCAGUUGAAAGUGAAAGUGAUAGUGGUGAUGCUGAAGAUACUGAUGAGGAUGACGACGAUGACAAUGAGGAAGAAGAAAAUGAUGAAGAGGAUGAUGGAGAUAAUGAUGGGGAUGGUGAUAGCCAGAGCGAUGAGGGUAAGUGAGCAUGGAUGAGUUUGGCUCCUUUGGCUCAAAAUGGUUAAUAACAUGAGCUCCAAUUAAAAUGGUCUUAAGGUUCAGGGAAACAGGGAUCUCCGGCUAACAGAGAAUGGGGACGACAGCGAUUGAAUCCUGGAUGAGCCGACUCACAAGUUAAUUGAUGAUAACUUGUUCAUUAUAUGUUCUAUUUAUUGUCUACUGUAUUAGAUUCGUGGUUGUAGGACCAUGUCUCUUUCAGGGAGAAUCUAUUUGCUACUUAGGAUAUAUCAUGUAGCUGAUUUGGUGACUCGUAGAAGGGUGUUUUUUUAAUUUUUUUUUUCUUUCUUUUUUCUCUUUUCUCCCUUUUCCCAUUAGUUUCAAAUAUAAACCCAUAGUUUGUGUAUGUUGAUGAUUUGGUUUAAGUAAACCGCUCAGGUCUUUAUGAGAUCA